AUCAGCUCAUUGAUAUGGGCCAGAAGGGGCCUGCUGCGCCUACUGGUAGGCUCAGAAGGCUGUUAUCGUCCAAAUCCAAAUGGUUAAUCACCGCACGCAAGUAUGACAGUGAAAUUACCACUGGCGUACCAGGAGGGGCGAUCGUUUCCCCAACGCCAUCAACUCCACGCGGACCAAUGACCAGCGAUUUAGUGCAUUAAAAGACGGAUUUUAGAUGACAUCAAGACACAUACAGUUACAUCGGAUCACACAGCGGCUCUUUUAAGAAGCCAUCUCUUGUAAAGUUUUUGCAUGAUGGCCUUUCUCAGACUCUGAAUCUGAUGUGUACAGAUGAACUCAGGAGCCUGUUAAAGUUGCCAGGGAAUAUAUUUUCUUGUUUUACAGCUGAAGACCAAAAACACAAAGAAAAUCAGUCACAGCUAGCAAGUCCUGAUGAAUGUGUGGUUAUUUGGACAAGGCAGUUGAUUAGCAUGCUCAGAUGUGUUUGAUUAAAAUUAGAGCUAAACUCUGCAGAAAAGUGGAUCUUAUGAGCUAGAUUUGAGGAUUAAUAUGAAACUAUAGGUUCUGAAAAUGUCUCUUUUAGUUUGAGCCAAAACGGGCUGGCCCACACUGUGUCAUGGGA